AGCAGGAGCACGUUCCACAUGGUUCCACUCAGGGCACAGCCAGGUCAGAGGGCCCCCCACCCCCUGCUGAGGACAGAGGGCUGUGGGCACUGCACUGAGCUCAGUGGUGAUGUUUGGCCCCUUGGAAUAAAGAGGACACAAAGAAAACGCAGGAGGUAAGAGAUAUUCAGGCCCCAUGGAGCCACAUAUAUUUGCCUAUUAACGAUGUCGCUGCAAUAGCAAAGCCUCCUUCCUCUCUCCCAGGCUCAAAUGUGGAAGCCCUCCACAGGAGCACCCCCUGAAGACCUCCAGCCGGGCACCGCGAUGGGAGCUUUGGCUCACACCUGACAUGUCAUCAAACAAACCCAAAUCCUCUGCUCCACCUGAGGACACGGCCCUUCUGCCCCUUCGCCCAUCUCUUGGCACAGAG
ensembl:lncRNA